rnacentral:lncRNA from 1 species
AAUCAACUGCUGCCUCUCCUGGAGUAUAGAUCACAAUCUAUACCUAUACCCGCAAUCUCAGCUAUUGCACCCUGAACUCAGCGACCCAACCACCUCGUACUUAACAUUUGCAAACCCAAAAAAAAAUUACCUUAGCCCUAAUAAAUUCUCUGACCACGACCACCCGCCGUGGAUCCACUCAUCCUUUCUUAAGCACAUACUGUCACACCCCAAGACCAUGAACGGCGGAAACGUUCUGGGGCGGAGGACGUCAUGUACAGUAUCACAACAAUGAAUAGUAGUAAACAAGAAACAACAUCAUCCAUUGCAUUAAUAGUAUAAUUUUAAUACAAAUGCGUUCUGUCAAAUUAUAUAGACACCAAAAUAUAAAUCAAAAUGAAANNNNNNNNNNNNNNNNNNNNNNNNNNNNNNNNNNNNNNNNNNNNNNNNNNNNNNNNNNNNNNNNNNNNNNNNNNNNNNNNNNNNNNNNNNNNNNNNNNNNUUGAUAUAAUAACUAGCAUGAUUCAACUUGUAUCCCCCCGAUAAAAACAUUUAAAAACAAGUCAAAGGUUAAUUAAAGGGGUAUGAACUCACCUGUAGUGAGUUGUUUGGAUGAACGUGCCGGAUAAGAUGCUAAGUGCCAAGUGGAGACUUGAGCACACACGCGAAUCCUAUUUAACAUAUGUUGAUACAUAUAUGAAUAUAAUUAGUGUUUAAAACAACUAAUUAUUGAAUUGGGACCACCUUAGGGACUAGUAAACACUUAUAUUGAAGUGUUACAACCAUAUAUGAUUGUAUGAAGGGGUAUAUGGCUAUACAAGGGAGUGUAUGGUCAAAAUACACACUAUAUGUGUGUGCGGCCAGGGUGUGUGUGCGGUUGGGUGUGCGGCCGUACUUGGUGUGUGCGGUCGUACACAUAGUGUUCUUGGUGUUCUUGACUAAAGAUGUUACCUUCUAUGAAGAUCAACAAGGAGAUUUGGAUGAUACUUGAGAGGAUUUCGGGUCCUAGCUUUGAAGAAGUGUAAAAAGUGUUCAAAAUGACCAAGUGUAGUAUAUAUAGGAGGGAGUGUGCGGCUGGAUGGGUGUGCGGCCGAACACACCUAUUUUGGUGUGUUUGGCCAGUUUUUGCGAUGCUACACACAUUCUCACCCAUCAUACGACUCAUAUCUUGAUUAUACUAAGCCUUAAGCACUCAUAAUGAUCCAAAACUUCAUUAUAAAAUAGCAAAACGAGGUUAAAUUUGAUAAAAAUGAAGGAUGUAAGCUAGAAAUUUCAGGUUGUCACAUCAUCCCCCUGUUAGAGGGAAUUUCAUCCCGAAAUUAGAAUUUAGGUAAGGAAGUAGGCAUGAAUAAUUGAAUCAAGAAGUGGGGAUACUUCGUAAUCGGUUGAUUCUCGUGCUCCCAAGUGCAUGCAGGUCCUCGGUUGGCAUUCCGGCGAACCUUCACUAAUGGGAAACGGAUAUGAAUCGUUCGCAUGACCUCUCGGUCCAUGGUCACUACGGUUCUUCCACGAAUUUGAGGCUCUUGUAGAACUCGAUCUCUUCGAGUGGGAUUUCAAGAGUCUCAUCGGAUAGAUACUUUUAAAAGUUUGAGACGUGGAGGGUAGAAUGUACGUUACCAAACUCGCGGGGUAGAUUGAGUUUGUGAGAUACAGGGCCGAAUGUGGCAAAAAUCUCGGAGGUGCUAACUAUCUUGAAUUUAGAUUUCCACGCCUUACGAAGUGUAUUAAGCCUUCCCAGUGUGAGACUUCCAAAAGAAUUUGGUCUCUCACCUGGAGUUCCAAGGGUUUCCCCCUCUUGCUUCUCUUCCCAAUCAAGGGUCGCUCCCUUCCGAGUCAAAUUCGUAAGGGGUUCCGUAAUUUGCGAGGAUUUCUAAAUGAACUACGGCUGUAGGUCUGCGAGACCUAAAACUUGGCAAAUUUCCGACGGUGUCCUUGGUGCUGACAAAUUCUCAACGGUUUCAUAAAUUGAAAGGGUCCUCAAGAAUUUCAACAUCACUAAUCGUGUAUCUUAGGAAUUUGACUCUUCAAUUCCAAAACUUGUAUUUUGAGAACUUCGCGCAACGCUUCUCUGAUCGUAUUGGUUCCAUGGUUUGUUGUAGAUGCUCUUCCUGAUUUCCUUCUUACUACGAGAGUAGAUAAGUAAGUCAUUUACAAGAUUAAUGACGAACUGAUCCAAGUAAGAAUGGCGUAUCCUAUUCAUUAAGUUCAUGAAUACUACGGGCGUAUUGGUACUAUCCGAGGGGUAUCACUAUGGACUCGUAGUGUCCGUAUCGAGUUCGGAAGGUCGUCUUCGGGACAUCCUUCGCUAACACUCGAAACUGGUGAUAUUCGGAUCUCAGGUCCAUUUCUGAAAGGUAAUUUCGUUUCCUUGCGUUUGCUAAACCAAAUCAUCUAUGCGAAGCAGAGGUAAUGAUUUACAAAAGAAAUCUUGACGAGGUUUCCGAUAGUCGAUGUACUCAUGAUACUAUUCGUCCACCUUUUUGAAGAAUAAGACCAGAGCUCUCCAGGGCGAGGAGCUUGGUCUUACUAUUCUUUUGCCAAGUAGUUCGUUAAGUUGUCCAGACUGUUCCUGCAUCUCUGUAGGUGUUUAGACUGUAGGGAGAUCUGGUUUGCAGGAGUCGUACUGGGUUAUAAGUUUGUUCACAUGACGAUGUGAUUACUCAUAGUUUUGGGCAGUCUCCGUCCUGAAGUUCAUAUUAUAAUUCAUACAUGGUUCACCGAUCACAGUCUCGUGUAUACGAGUCAUAUAUAAUUAAGAUUGAAAAGGUAGUCGAAUAAAUGAUUCUUCUUUAAGGUCACAUCCCAAUGAGGAAAAGAAGUUAAAGGGGAAUCAUUAAUUAUAAACCUGUAGAACCUUGAUUAUAUACCACCCUUGUGUAUACAUUAUUCAUCGAUAGAUUAACCAUAAGAGUCCUUGUAUUGAACUUGGCAUACUGUACGAGUGGUACAUCGGGAAGGUUUGCUGAGGCUUCCUUGGAAAGGAUAAGAAACAUGAGGUACUCUACGCAUGAGUACUUUGGAGUUCUGAAAUGACGACUUCGCUAGAAAGACGUUUACUGAGAAAGAGAUGUACGCACGAAACUGGUAUUGUGAGAAUCGAAUUGAUCAUAAGGGCGUUACAGACAAAAUCCUACAGUGCAACUUUUAACAAAGUUACAAUACUAUAGAUUCACUACAAAACUAUUGCUGUGAACUAGGUAUACUACAAAAGACAAGUAUACACAGCACGAGCACCCCUUUAAUGAUGGGAUCUCGCAAAAGAUAAGACUCAAGUUGCACUAGUUUUAAACGGUUUUAAGGGUCUGUUACAACGAACGCCUUAGAUACUCUAACGAGGAUCCGACGUAGUCUCUCCUGAAGCUGUAAUCCUUAGUAUCCUUCCGUUUGCGCCAGAGUUCUUCGUUAUCAGGCAAUCCUUCUCGGGAUUUCCUAUCUCACCACAUUGGUGACAUAUCUGGCUAGCACCAAUAUUGGUGGUAGGAGUGAUGUGUCGAUUCAGAGUUACGUGGACACGAGUGCCCUCCUCGUUCAUCCACUUUGAAAAUUUCCUUUUAUAGGGUCUAGUUUUACUACCAUCAUCGCAAGCCUGGUUGACUCCGAUGUCAGGGGCUUGAGUGAUGGGUCGUGCCGGUGCUCCACAGCUACGAGGAUGGUGCCCUAAUUUUAGGCAAUUGCAACAUUGCAUUUCAUGGCAAGCCCCAUGAUGAUGAAAACUACACUUAUCACACUUCGGAAGUUUUCCCUCGUAUGGCCUGCUCGUUACUGGGAUGGCAGGGGUUUCCACUUGUUGUUGUUGCAUGGCAAGUCUUUGGGAUCGCUUGCGUUCCUUCUGGGCUUGGCGCUUUCGUUUCUUGUUCUCUGUUUUUCGGUUUUGCGAGUCUGCAACUGUUAUCAUUUGACGGUUUCCUGGAUUGAUACUACGAUCUGGAUUGUCAACCCCUUUGUCAGCAAUGCUUGCGUUAAUAGCGCUGCGGUUUGCAAGGACAGCUGUCACGGCAGCCAUCACGGCAACUGUAACUAUGGCUUGGAAAGUAGCGGUGUCCAUAGGAAAGGCAAGGGUUUUGUUGUUCGUCUGAAGGUUUCUGGAUGAUGACAUGAUUCUGUAACACGAAAGACAAGGAGUUCGUGAGUGACUAAGGUUGACCCUAGAUCUAAGAGAUGAGUUAUUAUACACGGAAACUUAGCUUAUACAUAUUAUGAUAUAAUCAAGACUUGGCUGAUAGUAAAAUGUGUGAUUCUACUUUAGUUUCACAUCCCAACGAGGAAAAGAAACUAAGUUAGAAAUCUCACAUUCUAUUGUCUAUCAGGUCUUCGUUAUAUAUAACUUAGGAAUGUAUAAGCAAGGAAAUCAAUAUAAUAACCUUCUCACUAAUCCUUCUAUAUGAAUUAGAAUUUCUAGAAAAGGCUAUAAUUGAACCUAGAUGUAUUUCGAUCGAUCACCUAAAGAGUAGAAGUAAGUUCGUAGAAUGGUAUCAAGACGCUUGACGUCUAAAACAGGGUACCAUCGGUAGGAAAAUAUCAUGAUCCAACCCUUGAAAAAGAAUUGGGAAUGAUCCCUGAGCUAGAAUACCCUAGUUUAAUAACUCGACUAGAGUGGGUUUCAGAUAGACUCCCAUGAUAGCAUGAUGAAAGUAUUUGAAUAAAGAAUGACACAGAAGUUAGCCGUCUGUCAAUAUCUUUGAUAUUCAUGACGCAAAAGUUCGAGAAAAAUUGACCUUGCAGCAGGUCUUACAUCAUAUCCAGAGUAGAAAGGUUUUGGCCGUAUAAAGGCCUGACUAAAAGUACCUACAGUACAAGAUAGUUUUGUAGAAAAAUGCUGCAUGGGACAUAGAUAUAAAGAACGGUUCCUUAUAACAGGGAAAGAAAGUAAGGCAUCUACUACUGGUGAUGGCCAUCCCUCUGGUGAACUCUUAGUUCAGCUAGUUGACGUUCCACAUCAAGCAAGUGUCUUUCGUACACCCUAUGGCGUACUUGGAGUUCUAUGACUUCGGCUCGUGAUUCAGCCAGUGCUUGAAGCAGGGUUUCAUGGUCUCUCUCAGAUCUCUCACGAGCAUCUUCCAGGAGAAUGGUACGGAGGGUGUGCAUUCUCACAUUGGUGACAACUUCUGUGAUCUGAUGUAGGGCUGUCCUGCCUUGAAUCUCAUUUCGGGCCACUCUGCGGACCAGGAUUGGCAAGACUCUAUCUGCUGAGCCCCCUUCGCUCAGGUCAUAAAACCUUCGGUCUCCAUUAAAUGACAUGGGCUAAUCCUGCCCUUGGCUCCAUGUUUCCAAGCUUUCCACCCACGGAGGUGUCGGGCCUUGAAAAGCCGGACGAGGGUUAGGAUUUCGAACAAGAGCUAUCGGGGGUAGGUUCUCUACUUCAGGCUCAGAGUCAGAACCAUCUCCCAAGCCUUCAUCCUGGUGACCAUCCACAUGGAUUAGGUGGUCAUUUCCAGGAUCAGCUUCAAACCCGCCUUCAUUGCCUUGGUUAGGGAAGUACAAGUUGCCGUAGGGAUGGAACCCAGCCAUAAUAUCUAUGCGAGAAAAAGGGAUAUAAGAAUCUAGUACAAAAUCUAGCACAUAAGCAGCUUGCAGUAAUACACAAAAUACUCCUACAGUAUUUUAGGUUUAUGUUCUAUCGUUCUCAUUGUGGUAUUGUUGGUAAGAUUUUAGACUUGUUGCAACCUCACAACCACCCUUAGGCACAUGCUAGUCACUCAUCGGAUAAUAUAGUUGAUCAGGCUAUAUCUUCCCAAAAUUGACAAUAUGUCUCUAAGUCUACUUGUGGUGUCCAACAAUCGUAAUUCUUUUGUACUGUCCUAGUGACACUGAUUUUAGUAUGAAUGUAGACAUGUAUACUUAUUUUAAAUAUUUUAUUAUUUAAAGUAUAAACUCUUGGUCAGAGUAUUUUAAUCCCAUUGUAUUUAUAGUCUGUAUAUCUUUUAUGGGUUGAUAUACUCAAUUCACUAUAAACAAUGCUCUGAUACCAAUCUGUCACACCCCAAAACCAUGAACGGCGGAAACGUUCUGGGGCGGAGGACGUUAUGUACAGUAUUACAACAAUGAAUAGUAGUAAACAAGAAACAACAUCUUCCAUUUCAUUAAUAGUAUAAUUUUAAUACAAAUGUGUUCUGUCAAAUUAUAUAGACACCAAAAUAUAAAUCGAAAUGAAAGAUGAGUCUUCAAUGUGCUCCAUCUUCUCUAAACCUUGCAUCUGUACCUGUCUACUGGUGACCUGAGGAUACAAGUUAUUUUGGAAGAGAGUAUCAGCUUUAAAGCUGGUGAGAUCAUAAGUAUUUUAGUGUCUGAAUUUGUAAGAAUGUAUUGGUAAGAAUGUAUUUGUAAGAAUGUAUUUGUAAGCAUGUGAAGUAUAAGUAUGUAAAAGUUCUGAACCUCCUAGAAAUCCCUAUGUUUCCUACUAAAAGUAGUCUUCUACCAAGGCAUCUAGUAUCUGACUAUGUCUCUUGUAAGAGUGUGUAUUUUUCCAAAUCUGACUAUCAUUAACCAAGAAUAUAGUUCCUACAUUUCCGUGCAUCGUGUGAAUAUUCACGAAGUGAAUGUAAUGGGAAAAUUAAAUAGUACUGUAGUGUUAUAAUAAGUGACUACUGCUGUACUAACUACCUUAAACCAAAUGUAAUUUAAAGUACCAUGUGAUCGGCCUNAGGCACCCGUAGACUUGCAAGUCCCACUGUAGCGAGCAGCAAGGUGUAGGAUAGUCAAUCCAGUAUAGAUCUAUACACAAACUCAUACGCUCCCCAAUUAAGGAGAUUAUGGAUACAAAAACAGUCAUCGCAGGUAGUGCCAUGCCCCG